rnacentral:lncRNA from 1 species
AUAAGUGGUUGCUCAUUUGAAUUCAAAUCGAAUUUGAAUUCAAAUGCCAACCAACUCAUUCCUAUCCACUCUACGCAUGAGAAGAGAGGAGGCAUGGCUUCUCUUGUGCAUGGAAAAUUUAUACGAGAAACUCUUUCUCGUGUAAAACAAAUGGUGCAAGGAUAAGGCUAGGUGGCGCAUGGAUUGGUUGCUCAUUCAAAUUCAAACUUUCUUUUGAAUUUGAAUGGCCAACCAACCAUCUUUAUCCACCCAUAUGGCGCACAAAUGUGGGGCAUGGGAAGGCCUUUGCAUGGGAGA